rnacentral:lncRNA from 1 species
GACGCAGAGCCACAUAUCUGUAUUCAGAUGAAAAGUACGUGUGGUGGCUUUUAAUGGAGACCCUAGACAGAGAAAGACUGUGCCCAAGGUGUACCGCUAUAGGGCUCCUCUCCAUGACGGCCAAGAAUAUAAUUUAAUGAUUUGAUUUAAUAUAAAGAGUAUGAUUAUUUUACAGUAUCGUACACUUAGAGGCACCUCUGUUUUCCCUCUAUUAUUUAAGGUGUAAAAAGUCAUGACAGAACUCUGUGCUUGUUCUGGUUCCAAUUCUAUUUGAAUAGUAUGACUUAAUCACUAUCGAUGUCAUGAUAACAAUGACACGGGGGACCUCUUUUUCUAAGAAGUAAUAUGUUCUGGAAGGGUGUGGUUCUUGAACUGUUAAUAGUUUCCACCCUGUAAACCGUUGGAUUUGAUGAUGAGCUCUCAUUCACUUCCUCUCCGUAAGCUACAUAAGCGACAGCAGCAUCAUAACAUCACAGAAACACACUUUUUUAUCACACCAUAAGCACCACAGUGAUCCAAACACUCUGCACUCUUUUACCGGAUUUAAAAUGAUGGCUAUUAAGUCUGCCAUUCCAUCCUCGGUCUGUCUGCAUCAGGUGACGAGGCUGAUUGUUCUGGCUGUAUUGUUACUGAACUGCACACUGGGCGUCGCAUGGUCUGACGAAAAGGAGGUAACAUGCUGCAAGAAAGUUGGUGCCUGUGUUCUCAAGACAGAAAUCACAGACUGCAUAAUUCACCCUGAGACCGACAGAUGCCGUGCCGCUGUCAUAUUUACCACCCAAGGAACAACGUACUGCUGUGGGCCACUUGCUAAACGGGCUAAAAUGAAAGUGCAACAAUUAGCCCGGGAAGGGAGGCCCUGUAGGACCAGCACAACCGCAUCAGGAGAGAAACAAGGAAAGAAAAGUCCUCUGUGAACCCUUGGAUGUUUUAUAAUAGAUUGUUUCACCUGCCACCUGUUAAUGGUUCUAUCACUGUUUUACAUUUCUUACAUUACUUAUUCUAUUUAUUUAUUGACUGAUUCAAAUACAUUUAUGGAAUAAUUUAAAAUAAUGAUAACCUACUAUAAGUAUAGUUAGUAUUCCUAUUAGUAUUUAGCUUAGCUCAUUAUUUUGCUAUGAAUUCUAAUUUACUACGCUGGUUAUUGUUGAUACUGUUGUGCUGUACCAUUAAAGACCUAUCAAUCCAAAAUGAUUUACGGAUGUGUUAUCUCUCUAUUUUUGUGUCUGCAAUUUUAUAGAACAAUUUAGUUUUGCUGUUGAAUGUGUAC